CAGACUAUACUUUCAGGGGUCAUUUCUAUAGUUCAUUACUAGAGAAGUUUCUCUGAAUGUGUAGAGCACCCAAAACGCGAGGAGGAAAUGCAGUGCUCUGUCAUGACUGUGACACCAGCUCUUGGUGGUGCUUCUGCAACAGCCACUUGCCAUUGAUGAUCAUUCUUCUCUUCCUUUGGGAGAGUAAUAGGGAGAGAAUUUUAAU
rnacentral:snoRNA from 1 species